GGGGAUUUAGCUCAGCGGUAGAGCGCUUGUCUAGCAAGCACAAGGCCCUGGGUUCGGUCCCCAGCUCCG
rnacentral:tRNA from 1 species